CCCUGUUCAAGGUAGACAAUCAACAUAUUGACUUUAUGAAAUUAAACAUAGACUCAUAGUUCAAAGGAAUAUAACUCUUGUAUACAAAUGACACAUCAAUCGAGUUAUUUAGCUGCGAAUUCGUGCGCCACCUUCAAGGAAGAUUCUAAAUUAUCAAUAUAACCACAAGUUGUUAAUCUAUAGAUACUGACGACUAAUGAAUUCUAACCACAGUAAAGAAUAUUUGUUUGAAAUUUUUUAACACUUACUCAGAAAAAUGCUCGAACUACUUGACUUUCAAAGCUCAUAAUUAAC
rnacentral:lncRNA from 1 species